rnacentral:rRNA from 1 species
GACGAACGCUGGCGGCGUGCUUAACACAUGCAAGUCGAGCGGUAAGGCCCUUUCGGGGGUACACGAGCGGCGAACGGGUGAGUAACACGUGGGUGACCUGCCCUCAGCUCUGGGAUAAGCCUGGGAAACCGGGUCUAAUACUGGAUAUGACUCCAUGACGCAUGUUGUGGGGUGGAAAGCCUUGUGCGGCUGAGGAUGGGCCCGCGGCCUAUCAGCUUGUUGGUGGGGUGAGGCCUACCAAGGCGACGACGGGUAGCCGGCCUGAGAGGGCGACCGGCCACACUGGGACUGAGACACGGCCCAGACUCCUACGGGAGGCAGCAGUGGGGAAGUCUUGCGC